rnacentral:lncRNA from 1 species
GAGGUUUUUUCUUAGAGAAGAAUUAGGAGUUGUAAGGGAAUAGGAGUCUUGAGUAGGAGUUCUAUUAGGAGUUGGUUAGAAGUAAGAGUCUUAAGUAGGAGUCAUAUUAGGAGUUAGGGUUUAGAAGCCCUAUAAAUAGCCAUGUAUUCCUCCUCUUUUCUCAAGCAAUAGAUGAAUCUUUUCUGCAGCCUUUGAGCAGCAACUUGGAGGGAGGAACCCCUAUAGAGUUCCAAGGAGGCCGAUCCCCUAAAGAGAUCAACCCCAAGUUUAGAAUCUGCUAGGGUUCUAACAC